CGCCAGCCGCCAUUACAGCACAAAGGACCAAUAAUGGUGUCCUGGCCGCUAGACAGAGCAAUCAUCCUAAGGAAACGGCAGUCAAAAGGAAAGGUUUUUUUUAAGACAAAGAAUCCAGAUCUUUCUUUGCAACAUUUAACGGCCAUUGUUGCAACAAAAUCACAACAGACAGCCAUUUCUUGUCUUCUUUUGCAAAAGAAAGGAUACCGUUAUGCUUGGGGAGGGGGAGAGAUCAUCGCCCCGAUUUUCCUACUGGGUUAUGUUACUAGCCUAUUGCAAGGACGGCCGCAGUGUAAAUUUUUUUAAAAAAUGAGAUGGGAACAGCGUCUUCUUGAUCCGAAUUCCAAGAGCAUGAAGGAGGCAGAAGCAUGGUGAGACAUUAUAACAAACUCUGGAGGAAACCCCACCUUAAUCUAUGGUUAGAAAUGUGGGAGAGAGGAGAUCGCCCCUUCCAGAUCUAGGCUGCAGCAAGGCUCUUGCCUUGAUCCGAGGAGGGGGGAUUCUGAGGCGGCUGCAGCAGCAAAUCGACCCCCUGCUCUAUUACUAAAUAGCAGCUUCGCAGAAUACAAUCGAGCUCGUACAUUUCUGGAGUAGCGAUUAAAAACAAAGACAGAGGCUACUUUGUUGCUAAAGAUGGAGAACAUUAGGGGAGCUUUUCCACAAGCGGAGGAAACCCAUCGCAAAACAACCCCUAAAAUAAGAAAAAGGACAAGACUGAAGAAGGCUGCGAGGUGGGCUGGGGGGUCUUUAAUGGAACCCAGCGGGGGCUUACUUCCGAGCAAACCCGUAUACAGGCUUGCAGUGCACGUGCCGGCAAACCUACGGGCGAAUCAUUUACUUGAACGAAUCCUCGUUCAAGCCACCGAAACCGACAUGGAAUCCAGGGUCGUGGUGGAGCAAAGGAGCGGAAAUUGACCACCGCGUGGAUCGAGAAGUCAAUCUCGUCCAUUGCAGAGAUAAACCGCACAGAGUUUAGGGGAGGGUAGAAGGAACCUCCUUUUAUUACGUGGUAAUGUCUUCUGGGGAAGGGAGUCAACGCUCUUGGUGGAGUUGCCCCCUCCCUCCUUCCCCCAGCUGUGUAAUGUGAGUUAUUGCCCCCUCCCACAUGCCUUGAGAUCAGCAAUCGAGACCCUUGCCCCCCAAUUCUACCCCCCUUUUGCCUCCCAAACAAUCGCACACCCCUUCACUGCUUGAAUCCGUGUAUAUUUAUGUAUUUUAUUUACCCAGUUGAUACCCCCAUCUGAGAAAGGGAAAACCCUCCUUCAGCAUCACCACGAGACAGACCAGGCUUUUGUUCGCCCUCUUUCUGCCACCUUAAAAAAAUUCAAAUCGCACCUACUUGCCGCAGCCGAUUUGGCGCUUAAAUCUGCAAGCAACGUUAGAUGGCUAAAUUAGCGGGCGCGCUCACUCGCUCGCCCUCACCACGCGGAGUGGGAGGGAGGGAGCGAGAGAGAGAAUAUGGUUUUCUUAGUUGACUCACCCGCCCUAGAGCCUAAUCCCGUCAAUUUUAAAUCGCAGUAUUUAUUAAGGGAAGGCAGUGACGGACUAAGAACCGUAAACAGUUCUCCCACUCCCUUUGGCACUGUGUCUUUAGAGGAAGAUUUUAAAAAUCAGUAAAUGGGUAUUCAUUAGUAGCUUUGGCAAACAAACCGGGACAGACACAUACACUCCUCCCGCCCAAAUCCUUUCCACCCGGACAACACCAUUGCCUGCAGGCAGCCAACCUACUUUAUAGAGAACGGAAAGAACGCUUUACGGCAUUUGAAAAGCAGAUUAUAUUUAGCAAUGAUCGCACGCCAAACAAGAAGAAAAGAUUCGCUCUCUGGCCCUUAUUUUAAAAUUAGGUGCACCGAUGGUCAAAACGUAAGAGGCUCUGCCACAGCGGCAAAUGCUUUACACCUUUUAUUGAUUUGCCCCACUCCUUCCCUUCCCCGUUCCCCCAGUUAUUAACCCUUUCACAGCACCAACCUAAUGCUGCAUUCACACGGGAAAAAAAUGCCAUCCUCACCUUAGCACCGAUCUGGUUACCACAUUGCCCAGCUUGAAUAUGUACGAUUUCCCUCAUUUUGCCUAGCGGGUUUUUUCAAUUAUUU